rnacentral:rRNA from 1 species
GUCCACGCUGUAAACGAUGUCAACUAGCUGCUUGUGUCUUCGCGACGUGGGUAGCGCAGCUAACGCAUUAAGUUGACCGCCUGGGGAGUACGGCCGCAAGGUUAAAACUCAAAUGAAUUGACGGGGGCCCCGCACAAGCGGUGGAGCAUGUGGUUUAAUUCGAUGCAACGCGAAGAACCUUACCAGGUCUUGACAUCCAGUGAACUUUCCAGAGAUGGAUUGGUGCCUUCGGGAACACUGAGACAGGUGCUGCAUGGCUGUCGU